rnacentral:rRNA from 1 species
CCUACGGGGGGCAGCAGUGAGGAAUAUUGGUCAAUGGACGAGAGUCUGAACCAGCCAAGUAGCGUGAAGGAUGACUGCCCUAUGGGUUGUAAACUUCUUUUAUAUGGGAAUAAAACGUUCCACGUGUGGGAUUUUGUAUGUACCAUAUGAAUAAGGAUCGGCUAACUCCGUGCCAGCAGCCGCGGUAAUACGGAGGAUCCGAGCGUUAUCCGGAUUUAUUGGGUUUAAAGGGAGCGUAGGUGGAUUGUUAAGUCAGUUGUGAAAGUUUGCGGCUAAACCGUAAAAUUGCAGUUGAAACUGGCAGUCUUGAGUACAGUAGAGGUGGGCGGAAUUCGUGGUGUAGCGGUGAAAUGCUUAGAUAUCACGAAGAACUCCGAUUGCGAAGGCAGUUCACUGGACUGCAACUGACACUGAGGCUCGAAAGUGUGGGUAUCAAACAGGAUUAGAUACCCGUGUAGUC